rnacentral:rRNA from 1 species
AUUAGAUACCCCUGUAGUCCCAGCCGUAAACAAUGUGCGUUAGGUGUGUCGGUAACCACGCGUUACUGAUGCGCCGAAGAGAAAUCGUGAAACGCACCACCUGGGAAGUACGGUCGCAAGGCUGAAACUUAAAGGAAUUGGCGGGGAGCACCACAACAGGUGGAGCCUGCGGUUUAAUUGGAUUCAACGCCGGACAUCUCACCGGAUAAGACAGCUGAAUGAUUGUCAAUCUGAAGGUUUUACAUGACUAGCUG